GGCCAACGGCUGGCUAAGCAAGUCUCAUUUGAACUUUUCCCUGAACUUGAGAACUUGGGUAAUGCAGCUGGUGUCACGGAAAAGAUAAAUUUGGCAAUUUGGCAGGCAAGUUUACAGAAGUUCUGGAACUCCUCUCCUUAUUAUUUGGCAGAUGAAAGUGAUGUUUCGAAGAAAACGAAAAUGGAUAUAGAAAGAUUCUCGGAUAAGAAGUCAGAGAGGGACAAGGCAAAGCCACCAUUGGACAAAUUCAUAAGAAUGGAGCCUGAUUAUGUUCCUGCAGAACUAGCUGAAGGUGGAAGGAAGAGGAGAGAUAACACAGACGGAAUGCGUUGGACCCCAGAUUUAGACAUGGGAAAAUUGGAUCUUUUGGAAAAGCUUGAUCAAAAGUCUAAGGGCGAUGAUGAAAAGAAAAAAGAUGGUGAAGACGAGGACGAAGAUCCAGAGGAGAAAGUUGGAGAGGAAGAAGAAGAAUUUAGCGAUGAUGGAGAUUACAAUCAGAAUCUUUAUGAUUACGAUGACGAUGAAGACGACUACAACAUGAAUGAAGAUAAUAAUGAUGAUGCCAUGUAUUGAGGGUUGCUUGGUGGAGUGAUUUUUGCUUACUGGUAUUCCGUGAAAUCAGUCGAGGUGCGCAAAAGCUGGCUCGAAUACUCCUCGUAAAUUAACAACUAUUUAAUUCAAGACAAUCUAAAAAGCACUUAUUGUGGGUCACAGCUUUUUCUUCUUUGUUUGGGCAGCAUACCCUCGUGUCUCAUCUCCUAUAGUUAGGAGCAUUUGAAAGAGUAUUUUCGCCGCGAAACAUAAAUUUAUGUUUUAA
rnacentral:misc_RNA from 1 species